rnacentral:rRNA from 1 species
GGGGAAUCUUGGACAAUGGGGGAAACCCUGAUCCAGCCAUGCCGCGUGAACGAUGAAGGCCCUAGGGUUGUAAAGUUCUUUCAGCGAGGAAGAUAAUGACGGUACUCGCAGAAGAAGCCCCGGCUAACUCCGUGCCAGCAGCCGCGGUAAUACGGAGGGGGCUAGCGUUGUUCGGAAUUACUGGGCGUAAAGCGCACGUAGGCGGGCUGGAAAGUUGGGGGUGAAAUCCCGGGGCUCAACCCCGGAACUGCCUCCAAAACUUUCAGUCUGGAGUCCGAGAGAGGUGAGUGGAAUUCCGAGUGUAGAGGUGAAAUUCGUAGAUAUUCGGAGGAACACCAGUGGCGAAGGCGGCUCACUGGCUCGGUACUGACGCUGAGGUGCGAAAGCGUGGGGAGCAAAC